rnacentral:lncRNA from 1 species
AACCAUGGCUUAAUCCAACUUUGUCAACGCUUUCUUUUUGACUUGCAUUCUUACUCAUUUAGCAACAAUUUUCUUGCUUGUGCUCUCUCUUAUCUUUUUUUUGACUGGGAUAUUUUCUUUACUAUAGUAUUCUCAUUCUUAAUAACCAUAAUCUUUCAUUAUAUACUAUUGAAUUUGCUUCAUAUCUCUCAUCUAACUACAUAAUUUUCUUGACUUUCAAACCAAUUUCAAAUUUAUAACCUCUUUGCACAACAUCCAAAACUACUCGUUUGGUCGUUAAUUCCUAAUACUCAAUACUAUUGUCGUUCUUCAAUAGUAGUG